CCCGGCGUUGAAACGCCGGGCUAUUGUCAGAUGUCCCUCCGGGACA
rnacentral:sRNA from 1 species